rnacentral:rRNA from 1 species
UUUAAACCCAAAGAAUUUGGCGGUACUUUAUUCCAUUCAGAGGAACCUACCCCGUGAUUGAUAGUACACGAUUAACUUUACUUAUUUUAUUUGUUUGUAUAUCUCCGUUAUCAGAAAAUCUUUUUAGAGAUUAAAUUUUCAUAAUUUAUGAUUAUAAAGUAUUUCAGGUCAAGGUGCAGUUUAUAAUUAAGAGGAGGUGGGUUACAAUAAAUUUUAGUUUAUUACGGCUAUUUUAAUGAAAUAUUAAAAAUUAAGGUGGAUUUGAUA